UGAGGAAUAUUGGUCAAUGGGCGCAAGCCUGAACCAGCCAUCCCGCGUACAGGAAGACGGCCCUAUGGGUUGUAAACUGCUUUUCCAGGGGGAGAAUUUUUCUGUCGUGACAGGAAUUGACGGUACCCUGGGAAUAAGCAUCGGCUAACUCCGUGCCAGCAGCCGCGGUAAUACGGAGGAUGCGAGCGUUAUCCGGAUUUAUUGGGUUUAAAGGGUGCGUAGGCGGAUUGAUAAGUCAGUGGUGAAAACCUGCAGCUUAACUGUAGACUUGCCGUUGAUACUGUCAGUCUUGAGUGUGGUCAAGGUAGGCGGAAUGUGUAAUGUAGCGGUGAAAUGCUUAGAUAUUACACAGAACACCGAUUGCGAAGGCAGCUUACUGGGCCAUUACUGACGCUGAUGCACGAAAGCGUGGGGAUCGAACA
rnacentral:rRNA from 1 species